GGAGAAAAGUAGGGGAUCGAAAGACCUUGCGCUUUGGGAGCGGCCGAUGUCUGAUUAGCUAGUUGGUGGGGUAAAGGCCUACCAAGGCGACGAUCAGUAGUUGGUCUGAGAGGACGACCAGCCACACUGGGACUGAGACACGGCCCAGACUCCUACGGGAGGCAGCAGUGGGGAAUUUUGGACAAUGGGCGCAAGCCUGAUCCAGCAAUGCCGCGUGAGUGAAGAAGGCCUUCGGGUUGUAAAGCUCUUUCAGUCGAGAAGAAAAAGCUGCAGUGAAUAACUGUAGUUCAUGACGGUAUCGACAGAAGAAGCACCGGCUAACUACGUGCCAGCAGCCGCGGUAAUACGUAGGGUGCGAGCGUUAAUCGGAAUUACUGGGCGUAAAGGGUGCGCAGGCGGCUUUGUAAGUCAGAUGUGAAAUCCCCGGGCUUAACCUGGGAAUUGCGUUUGAAACUACAAAGCUAGA
rnacentral:rRNA from 1 species